rnacentral:rRNA from 1 species
UACGUAGGGUGCAAGCGUUGUCCGGAAUUAUUGGGCGUACAGAGCUCGUAGGCGGUCUGUCGCGUCGGCUGUGAAAACUCGGGGCUCAACCCCGAGCCUGCAGUCGAUACGGGCAGACUAGAGUGCGGUAGGGGAGACUGGAAUUCCUGGUGUAGCGGUGAAAUGCGCAGAUAUCAGGAGGAACACCGGUGGCGAAGGCGGAUCUCUGGGCCAUUACUGACGCUGAGGAGCGAAAGCGUGGGGAGCGAACAGG